CCUCAUGCACGAGCGAACGAUAGUAAGCUUGCUUCUCUGAUGUUAGCGGCGGACGGGUGAGUAACACGUGGGUAACCUACCUAUAAGACUGGGAUAACUCCGGGAAACCGGGGCUAAUACCGGAUAAUAUUUUGAACCGCAUGGUUCAAUAGUGAAAGACGGUUUCGGCUGUCACUUAUAGAUGGACCCGCGCCGUAUUAGCUAGUUGGUAAGGUAACGGCUUACCAAGGCGACGAUACGUAGCCGACCUGAGAGGGUGAUCGGCCACACUGGAACUGAGACACGGUCCAGACUCCUACGGGAGGCAGCAGUAGGGAAUCUUCCGCAAUGGGCGAAAGCCUGACGGAGCAACGCCGCGUGAGUGAUGAAGGUCUUCGGAUCGUAAAACUCUGUUGUUAGGGAAGAACAAAUUUGUUAGUAACUGAACAAGUCUUGACGGUACCUAACCAGAAAGCCACGGCUAACUACGUGCCAGCAGCCGCGGUAAUACGUAGGUGGCAAGCGUUAUCCGGAAUUAUUGGGCGUAAAGCGCGCGUAGGCGGUUUCUUAAGUCUGAUGUGAAAGCCCACGGCUCAACCGUGGAGGGUCAUUGGAAACUGGGAAACUUGAGUGCAGAAGAGGAGAGUGGAAUUCCAUGUGUAGCGGUGAAAUGCGCAGAGAUAUGGAGGAACACCAGUGGCGAAGGCGGCUCUCUGGUCUGUAACUGACGCUGAUGUGCGAAAGCGUGGGGAUCAAACAGGAUUAGAUACCCUGGUAGUCCACGCCGUAAACGAUGAGUGCUAAAGUGUUAAGGGGGGUUUCCGCCCCUUUUAUGCUGCACCAAGUUCAUUUAAGCGACUCCG
rnacentral:rRNA from 2 species